GGCCCUAUAGCUCAGUGGUUAGAGCACUGGUCUUGUAAACCAGGGGUCGCGAGUUCAAUUCUCGCUGGGGCCUGA
rnacentral:tRNA from 1 species